CGGGGGAAGUUUUAAACAUGCCACGAAAAGGGAAGAGAUCUCAGGCUCAGAAAUUGCGCUGGAAAAAGAUAGACCUUCAAGAUGUAAAUACCAGCCUUUCCUGCAUUAAAGAGGUUGAACAAACGAGUACCAGUGCUGCUGUAGGCCAGUCUCCUGUUAGACAAUAUGAGGAAAGUGGGGGUAAUGAGCCCAAAGUUGUGUCAGUCCGGGCGUCUCAUUCUCAGGCUGAUGUUCGAUAUGAUGAAUUCUCAA